UUACGGCCACAUCACGUUGAAACACCUGUUCCCGUACGAUCACCUAAGUUAAUCGACAUCGAGCUUGAUUAGUACCUAUACGGGUGACCGCUUGCAAAUAGCA